CCAAAGCUCCGAAUUUUUGACGAGCGCAUCUAUUAGAUUAAAACCAAUCGGGUUUCGGCCCGUUUGUUGGUGACUCUGAAUAACUAUGGCUGAUCGCAUGGUCUAGAACCGGCGACGUGUCUAUCAAGUGUCUGCCUUAUCAACUGUCGAUGGUAGUUUAUGUGCCUACCAUGGUUGUAACGGGUAACGGAGAAUAAGGGUUCGACUCCGGAGAGGGAGCCUGAGAAACGGCUACCACAUCCAAGGAAGGCAGCAGGCGCGCAAAUUACCCACUCUCGGCAUGAGGAGGUAGUGACGAAAAAUAACGAGACCGUUCUCUAUGAGGCCGGUUAUCGGAAUGGGUACAAUUUAAACCCGUUAACGAGGAUCUAUGAGAGGGCAAGUCUGGUGCCAGCAGCCGCGGUAAUUCCAGCUCUCAAAGUGUAUAUCGUCAUUGCUGCGGUUAAAAAGCUCGUAGUUGGAUCUGCGCCUCAGGACCUGGUCCGCCCACUGGGUGAGAACUGGGCUCCUGGGCUAGUUCUGCUGGUUUUCCCUGCGUUGCCUUCAUCGGUAGCGUAGGGUGGCUAGCGAGUUUACUUUGAAAAAAUUAGAGUGCUUCACGCGGGCUUAUGUCUGAAUACUCGUGCAUGGAAUAAUAGAAUAGGAUCUCGGCUCUAUUUUGUUGGUUUUCUGAUCUGAGAUAAUGGUUAAGAGGGACGGACGGGGGCAUUCGUAUCGCUGCGUGAGAGGUGAAAUUCUUGGACCGUAGCGAGACGUCCGACUGCGAAAGCAUUUGCCAAGAAUGUCUUCAUUAAUCAAGAACGAAAGUCAGAGGU
rnacentral:rRNA from 1 species